rnacentral:sRNA from 1 species
AACAGGUCAAGGCCAUCUGUGGUUUUUCCCAGUUGGCAGUGGCAUGCCAGGAGGAGGCGAGGGUUGUGGGUCUAGGGUUGGGCAACUUCGUAAUAAACACAUUAGAUGGUGCAACAGGGCACCUGCUUCGGAGAGGCACACGUGGCCUCAACUGUGGCACCUUGGAAACAGCCUAAGAACUCAAGAUUAGGCUGCUGAGGCCUGGAGAUGUCCAGUAACUUGCCAAGGAUCAGCCAACCAGAGUUCUGAAUGCAAACCCCAGAGUCCAGGGUCUUCGCUGCUACAGCCCCUCCCUAAGAGUUGCUGAGCACCUGGGCCUGAAGAGAAACCUGAAUUCCUCUGGCUUGAUCUCCUUCCUGAUACCUGGUAAAAGGAGGCCAUCUAUGUAUGGGAAGGCCUGGGUUGUUAAGUGGUGGUUAUCUACGUCAGUUUCCUAUGACAAAGGACAGCAUGCCGUUGGCUAAAAAUGACAGAAACUCAUUGUCUCUGAGUCAUUGAAGGUCAGAUCCAAAGUCAGGGUGUUGUUCCCUCCAGACCUCCAGGGAGGAAUUUGUCUGGGGAGGGUGGUGUGUGUGUGUGUGGGGGGGGGUUGUUCGGGAUUGUUUUGGUUUUUUAUCUUUUAGGGUAGCCUCAGUUAUUCUUUGGCUCUCAGCCACAAGCUCCCAUCUGUUUGUCUAGGGGCUCAGGCCUUUUCUUCCUCUUUUUAUGGAGGCAACACCCAGAUUCCAGCUAGAUUCCAGCUGCCUCAGUUCACUGUGGGCCUCAUCUUGGUCCAAGUGCACCUGAAAAUUCUGAAUUUCCAAAUACAACCUCACUCACAAGUACUGAGGCCCAGGGCUUCUGCACAUCUUUCCAGGAUCUACACCUACACAGUUCUCCAUACGUCUACGGAGUUCCUCUUGUGGAACAUUGCCCAUGUGUGUUGCUCUCUGUAUGUGGAAACCAAUCAUAAGACUGUGUAUCGAGGCAACUUUCAGGACAGAGACUACUUUCUGUAUUCCAAAACCUAGAAGGUCUUCAAAAGAACUUAUAUAUGUCUUUGACUUAAACUUAUUAUGUCAUCUCCAUAUCCAAUUAUGGAGUCAGAGAAGGAGAGAUGGUUCAGCGGUUAAGAGCACUUGCUGUUUGUUCGAAGACCUAAGUUCGAUUCCCAGCAUCCACAUGAUGGUUCACAACCAUCUGUAACUUCAGUUCUCUACACUCUCUCUCACCUCCAGAGGCACUGGGAAUGUAUGUGGUUUACAGGGAUAUAUGCAGAAAAAAUGCUCAUACCUGUAAAAAUAAAAUAAUUCUAAAAAAAUCAAAAACAUAUUAUUUUCACCCCAGUGAUAUUUAUAAUCUUUGUUUUUAACCCAUUAAAAUUAAUUUAAAGACAGAGAUAAGCAUUUUAGACAGAUAGUCAUAACUUUCUUUCAAGAUUUUAUUUUCCCCUGUGAAACAAACUAAUCUUAUUCCGCAAGUGAAGGGGACACUUAAGGGCUCUUUGGAAAGUCAGUUGGGUUGGACGGCCUUUUGCUAGGGCAAAGACGUGGAGUGUUUUCUCGAGGUGGACACAAGAGAAAGGCCGUUUUGCUGAGGCAGACUCGUGAGGGAAUGUGUCGCUGAAGCAGACACAGGUGAAAGGAUGCUCUGCUAAAGCAAACUCGUGAAAGGACUCGAUAAAGAAUGCUUUGCUAAUGGCACUCGUGCGUUGCUCUGCCUUACAUUGCUCAGUUGAGCUCCUUUUACUGGGACUCCAUAGAGAGAAAUGCACCAAAAAGCUUCUGGCAGUGUGCGACAGCCUCUUACAGCUUCUGCGAACUCACACUGAUGGGCAGAGUGAAGUCAGCUGACAUAGGCUCAUGCGCUGAGGCAAGACCCACGGAAGACACACGAUGUUUGGAGGGCAUAUAAAUAGAACUCAACUAACAGACUGUGAGAGGGGCUUGGUUUACUGCAUAGCUAACCGCUUCUUGGUCUCAAGUCUUCCCUGAUCUUUGCUUUGUUGAGAGAGACACAGCCAAGAACUGUUCCUGGCAUCCCUGCUGGUCUGUAGCCCUCCUGCUGCUGACUCAUGCUGACUCAUGCCUGUUCUGCUGAGGCCUGGCCUUCCCUGCUAGGUCACACCACCACUGCUGCUCUCAACACUACCAAACUGGACUGCUGGUAUAUCCGUGAAGUGUUUGGCCUUGGUGGUACUCCUGGAGGUGCCCCUCCCACAUUCAUCCCUGUGAGCAGCUCAUACCUCUCUCUCCUUUCUUCCCUUGUCACAUCCCUGGGAAGGCUGACAGAGUCUCUGGGUAAGUCACUUCUUGUCACACACACAGUUCUGGCAAACCAAUUUCAAAUCCAUUAGCAUAAAGUUGCCCUUGAUAUACUCUGUAAUUCCUUGUUCUGCCUACGAAGGAAUAUGUGGAAGCUGGUCACUUCUGGAGAGAUGAGGCAGCCAGGUAUUGACUGCAGAGAGACCUGAGGGACCGGAGACUGCUAACAUUCUGGGUCUUGGGUGUGGUUUGUACAGGUGGCUCUGUGGAAGCUCAGCAAACGGCAUAUAAGCAAGCAUCUCAUGUGACACGUGUGUCCCUUAUAUGGCACAUGUGUUAUGACUAGUGGCUUUGGGUUUGCUGUCCUUGUUGUUUUCAGUUUUGUUUUGUUGCUGUUUUUUGUUUUUAGGUGAAGGGAAUGUCUACAUUAGCGUUUGCUCUUCUGAACAAAGAGAGCACAGAAAGACGGUUCUCUCUCGUCCACUUUGCUGUCUUCCGGAGGUCCUUACACUAUGGCCUGGUGGGCUCCCUGGCAGCUGUGUCCUUGCCUCUCUCUCCCCACCCCUUUGGAAACCUGGCUCUGUGAGCUGCCUAUUUAUUUACUUCUCUGGAAUUUCCGUCGCGAUGGUUCAGUGGGGCGGUUGCCGGGGGCCUGGGGCUGUUGGGCGUAUCAUCGGUACAAUAAUGUGUAUGUGUGUCCCCAGCUUUGCAAAAUUUAUAUGAAGGGAAUUAAAUCCAAACUAACUGCCGAGAUCAUCGUCCUUACCCUUGGCUUUUCCAGGGCCCUUGGGCAGAACCCUAGCCUGGGCAUAUUCCAAGAAGGAUAAAUUUAAUAUUAAUGAUAAUAAUACUUUGCACUUGGUCUAGUGAAAAUAUUUUGAAUGCAGCAAAGGCUGGGAAGCGAAUGUUUGCUUGGUGCGGUGGGUCAGGAAGCGCCUCUGCUUGUUUAUUAUGGUAGGGCUUUGUGUACAGAAACUAUUUUUCUCCUUUCUCACCGCCCGGGGCCAUAUUUCUUGUUGCUCGCUACAUCCAGAGUUUUACAGGAAGCCGCCACUCAUAUUUAAAUGGCAUGUUUUUAAAACAUGUCUGUAAAUAGCUGAAGACAGAUCGGCCGUAGGUGUGGCGUCGUCUCCUAUCCUCUCUGUCGGGAUUCUUUGUUCCACUCGAAAUCACAUCUCCGUCCCUGCGAGAUGGGGGAACUUUAAACUCAGCAUAGCCAGGAAGUUGGGAGACCCACGCUGUGAAUCGGUGGUGGCUGGAAGAUUCCCAGAGGAAGAGGGAGGAGUCUCUUCUCAACUGGAGGUUGAAGCAGUAGCCAGAGAUGUCAUACAAAUGCACAAAGAGCUUUCUUCGAGAUCCUCUGCUUCCUCCAGAGCCUGCCUCCCUGAAGUGAUUCUAUGGCAACAACAAAACAGCCUCGCCAGGAUGGAGGUGAGCUGCACACCUCCAUCUCCCAGCAGCAGGCCCCUUGGCUGCAUGCUUUGCCGUCCGUCUCCAGCCCUGACAGUGGCAUGAUGUAUUAUUCAGGCUAGAAUCACCCAAGGGGCACCCUCUCCAGAUCUAACUCACUCUAAUUCUGGAUGCUGCUCCACCUUGGGCCCCUGCUGCAUUUGAAGGCACAGAUCUUGCUCCAGCAAAUUUGGCUAAGACUCAUCCAGGGUGACUGACAUAUUGCACCUGUAAACCAGAGAACUUUAAGUGUGUGCGCCCAGGAACAUGGCAGUGAACCUGCUUAGAUGGUCUUUAGGAGGAAAGCUAGUUAUGUGUAUAGUCUACAGAAGCUUAACCCCUUGUUAAAAAAAGAGUAGGGGAGUACAGUUUAAGAUGGUGUAUUUUUCACACCUCUCCUAUAGUUUGGAUCUGGACUAUCCCUUGGGGGCCUGUGUGUAAAGUCUUGGUUUCCAUAUUGAUGUUAUCAGGAGGCAGUGGGAGCUUUAGGAAAUGAAGCCUGUUCAGUUUGUAUAAUGUUACCUGCAUGUAUGUUACCUGCAUGUAUGUUAAGCAAUUGGUGUGCUCUUCUCUGGAGACGACUGUUUUUCCCACUCCCAGCAUUCCUUAAUUGCUUGAAGGUUAUAAUAUAUGUAACAUAUUAUAAUAUAUAUCAUUUUAUAUUGCGCCAUUAUUAUAUACUUAUAUAUUAUAUAUUUGUGUUAUUAUGUUAUAUAAUAAUAAAUUAAUUACAUAUAUUAUAUAUAUUAACAAUCAAUUACAAAGACAGGUAUAUAGGAGGACUUGGAAGACAGAAAGGGAAAGGGAAAAUAAUAUAUCUCAGAAAAUAAAAAAUAAAAAUUUUAAACUAUAUAAAUGAGGGGAGUGAUGCCUAAUAUGGAGUCUUUUGUCGCUGGGCGAUGCGUUGGACCCUCCUGUGAGACCUCAGCCUCCUCCUCCUUUCUUUGCUCCAUUGGCCACUACAAGCCCAGAGCUGCAAUGCCAACCAAGAUCUCCAAGACUGCGAGCCAACAUACACUUUUCCUCUUUGCAAACUGGCUUCAUAAGGUGACAGAAAACUGAUGGAUACUUUCUAAGUCUCAGUAAGAAUGAAGAAAAUGGUGAGCAGGGCCAAGCACCUGCCUAGCAUGCGUGGGGUUCCAAGUUCAAGCCCUGGCACAGCAAGAAAAUCGAAGCACAGUCUCUGAUCUGCCUUGCAGCAAUGAGACCCUCACUUCAAGGCCUUGCCCUGUAGCCUUAAGAGAAGAACAAUGAAGGAUCCACCAUGGCCCAGCAUGGACGUUGUUCAGUCACAUUUUCACUGAUGUUCAUGGUUUCUUCAUACCCAUGUAAUGAGACCUUCAUAAAGUCAAAUGGGGCAGUGUAUAGAGACCAUCUAGGGGUUCCUGAUGGGGUUCUCAAAGAGAGCGUGAGAGUGCAGCAACCCUUCUCCCAGACCUUAACUGCUUUAUCUGUAUCCUUUAAAAUAAAAGUUGUAGUUCUC